rnacentral:rRNA from 1 species
CAAUAGCGUAUAUUAAAGUUGUUGCAGUUAAAAAGCUCGUAGUUGGAUUUGUGGCGUGCGACGGGCUCCGGGCACUUGUUGUCUGAGUAGCUUGUCGUUGCCAUCCUUGGGUGGAACCUGUGUGGCAUUAGGUUGUCGUGCAGGGGAUGCCCAUCUUUUACUGUGAAAAAAUUAGAGUGUUCAAAGCAGGCUUAUGCCGUUGAAUAUAUUAGCAUGGAAUAAUAAGAUAGGACUUUGUCGCUAUUUUGUUGGUUUGCGCGAUAAGGUAAUGAUUAAUAGGGACAGUUGGGGGUAUUCGUAUUCCAUUGUCAGAGGUGAAAUUCUUGGAUUUUUGGAAGACGAACUACUGCGAAAGCAUUUACCAAGGAUGUUUUCAUUAA